AUUGAACGCUGGCGGCAUGCCUUACACAUGCAAGUCGAACGGUAACAGGUCUUCGGAUGCUGACGAGUGGCGAACGGGUGAGUAAUACAUCGGAACGUGCCUAGUAGUGGGGGAUAACUACUCGAAGGAGUGGCUAAUACCGCAUGAGAUCUACGGAUGAAAGCAGGGGAUCGCAAGACCUUGUGCUACUAGAGCGGCCGAUGGCAGAUUAGGUAGUUGGUGGGAUAAAAGCUUACCAAGCCGAGGAUCUGUAGCUGGUCUGAGAGGACGUUCAGCCACACUGGGACUGAGACACGGCCCAGACUCCUACGGGAGGCAGCAGUGGGGAAUUUUGGACAAUGGGCGCAAGCCUGAUCCAGCAAUGCCGCGUGCAGGAUGAAGGCCUUCGGGUUGUAAACUGCUUUUGUACGGAACGAAAAGCCCUGGGUUAAUACCCUGGGGUCAUGACGGUACCGUAAGAAUAAGCACCGGCUAACUACGUGCCAGCAGCCGCCGUAA
rnacentral:rRNA from 1 species